rnacentral:rRNA from 1 species
GAUCAUGGCUCAGAUUGAACGCUGACGGCAGGCCUAACACAUGCAAGUCGAACGGUAACAGGAAGCAGCUUGCUGCUUUGCUGACGAGUGGCGGACGGGUGAGUAAUGUCUGGGAAACUGCCUGAUGGAGGGGGAUAACUACUGGAAACGGUAGCUAAUACCGCAUAACGUCGCAAGACCAAAGAGGGGACCUUAGGGCCUCUUGCCAUCGGAUGUGCCCAGAUGGGAUUAGCUAGG